AAUCAACCGAGAUUCCCCCAGUAGCGGCGAGCGAACGGGGAGCAGCCCAGAGUCUGAAUCAGCUUGUGUGUUAGUGGAAGCGUCUGGAAAGUCGCACGGUACAGGGUGAAAGUCCCGUACACGAAAACACACAGGCUGUGAACUCGAAGAGUAGGGCGGGACACGUGGUAUCCUGUCUGAAUAUGGGGGGACCAUCCUCCAAGGCUAAAUACUCCUGACUGACCGAUAGUGAACCAGUACCGUGAGGGAAAGGC
rnacentral:rRNA from 1 species